rnacentral:rRNA from 1 species
UACGGAGGGUGCAAGCGUUAUCCGGAAUCAUUGGGUUUAAAGGGUCCGCAGGCGGAUUUAUAAGUCAGUGGUGAAAGCCUGAUGCUUAACAUCAGAACUGCCAUUGAUACUGUAAGUCUUGAAUUCGAUCGAAGUGGGCGGAAUAUGACAUGUAGCGGUGAAAUGCUUAGAUAUGUCAUAGAACACCGAUAGCGAAGGCAGCUCACUAGGUCGGGAUUGACGCUCAGGGACGAAAGCGUGGGGAGCAAACAGG